rnacentral:rRNA from 1 species
GACGAACGCUGGCGGCGUGCUUAACACAUGCAAGUCGAACGGCAAGGCCUGCUUUCCCUUGUGGAUUGCGGGUACUCGAGUGGCGAACGGGUGAGUAACACGUGAGUGAUCUGCCCCCAACUUGGGUAUAAGCCUGGGAAACUGGGUCUAAUUCCCGAUAGGACUGCAGGGUGGUGCCUGUGGUGGAAAACGAUUUUCUAGUGGUUGGGGAUGAGCUCGCGGCCUAUCAGCUUGUUGGUGGGGUAAUGGCCUACCAAGGCGGCGACGGGUAGCCGGCCUGAGAGGGGGGACAGCGGAAUUGGGACUGGGAUACGGCCCAGACUCCUACGGGAGGCAGCAGUUGGGAAUAAUGCACAAUGGGCGGAAGCCUGAUGCAGCGACGCCGCGUGGGGGAUGACGGCCUUCGGGUUGUAAACUCCUUUCGACCGCGAGGAAGCCACCUGGUUGGAAGGGUGGUGACGGUAGUGGUAGAAGAAGCACCGGCUAACUACGUG